GAGAAGGGAGCCGAAGCGGAAGUCGAGGGGCCCCCCGGGUGGAAGUGACGCUGCCCCCGCUGCCCAAAAUGUCGGCGCCCAGAGGGAGGUCCAAAAAGAGCAGGUCACGGUUUAGCCAGGGGUGACGCGUUCCAGGAACCUAACCUUUCAAAGGUAUAAGAAAUGGAGCAGCGAACUUGGUGUGUUUGGCCAGCCGUUUUGUGGUUUUUGUGAAUAAAAGCUCACUUCUACGUCUGGUCGGGGCUGCAGUUUCCAUCCUGGCUUCGGUUACCGGCACUGCAGGCGCUGGCCAGCUGAAUAAAGGCUCCUAAACUUUA